UCCAGAAAAGUAUCACCUAAAGGCUGACUAGGAAGACUAAACAUAGGUGCUACAACUGUCCUGCUCCAGGCCACUGUUUUAACUGGGUGUGCUCGGUAAGUGGGAGAACCAUCCCUACCCCCAGUGGGCCAUGGGUGCUGCAGGAGGGCUGUGGCCGUACUGCUGGCUGCCAAGGAGGAGUAAGCACGCUUUGCUCAGCCGGAGCCAGUCCUUUCCGAAGCUGUUUGCAAAGGAGGGAGAUCACUGAUCAAACUCCUACUCCGUGUGGGGGAGGCCAGUGCCUCUGGACUCCAGAUGUGACUCUCUGAGAGACUCUUAUUGCCCCAUCUCCAGCAGUGAUUCCUCUGCGGGUUUCAUCAUCCCUGGGAAAGUGGGCAGGAAAAGGCCAAGAGUGUGGUUCUUCUGGAGCCCUUCCAUCAGGCUGCAUAGGAAGAGGCUGGCUGUGCCUGGGCUGCAGGGCAGUGCUGGAGCUCCCUGUGAGUACCAGUGCUGUGUCCACCACCGUGAAUCCAUGCUCCUGGCUGCAGGGGCACUGCAAAAUGCAGGAAGCGCUCUGGCUGCGUAAUGAACGUGUGAUAUUCUGAUGGGCAGGGUGUUUUCCAUUUCACCGACACGAUCUGGAUGCCAACGAAAUGAAGACCAUUUCUGGCGAAGGAAAUGACAGAUUAAAUUAUAGCCAGUCGGCUGUUCCAAGGUAUGUUUUCCAGGAGAGAAUAUGAAGAAAAAGGAGCUGCAGCCAUGCAUUUGCUUUUAAGAAGCACAGGAGGCACUGUGAUACCAAACCUUCCUUGGCUCGACUUUGGCGUAUGGGAUUGCCUUAGCAUCAGUAGAAGUGGCAGAAGCAUUCUAAAACCAUGGGCAAAAUCUUGCAGCAGGAAGAGCACGAAGGGCAGGCCACCUACAGACGAACUCGUACAAAAAAUCUCUUCUUUCAAAUAGCAAAGUUUUCUCUACUGCAGGCAUUAUGUGGGCCUGCUGAUGGGCAUGAGCUGGUCUUCCUCCACUGGGUACCAAGGAAGGAGAGGCAGUGCAU